CACACAUGGUGUUAUAGGGGAUCAUAUUUAGCAGAAUAUAUAUGGUGGGAGUUUGUUUUUAUUAAAAGUAAUAAAUUUCCUUUUUUCUGAAACCAUUUUACCACACUUUUUACCACAUUUGUGUUGUUUCGAAUGCCAUUAUGCAUACUGUUUUUGUUCUUCUACUCUUUACUCUUCAAUCUUUCAAUUAACAAUAGAAUUUAAACAAUGUUGUAAACAAAGGAUAAUAUAAACAAUUUCUGUAUUUAUUAUUUGAAUGUGCGGAUCGAAAAAGCGGUGUUUCUGCAUCUCAGCUAUUUUAUUUUUAUUUAAAGCUCUUAAAACUGAUCUUUGAUCAUCAAAAUUACAUAUUUAAAUGAUUUUUCUUGUGAUAAUUUUCUCAUGCCUUAAAAGAGCUUAAAUGUAACUCUGCCCCCCUUGCCUCAUUUACUAUACGCGGAUAUAUGCAUAUUCAAAUUAGCUCCGCCCCCACGCAGUCACACCAGUCAGAGCCUCAGCCCCUGAUCCGCUAACUGAACUGUAGUGAACGCGAUAUAAUGGCGAAACACGGAUAAUGAUUGGUAAAACUAUGUUUUUACUAGCGAACAACUACAGUGGAUACUUUAACAUUUGUUAAAGUUACUUACUUGUCGACGUUGUGCCCUCAAAGUGCCUUUAAGCCUCGAAUGCGGCCUAGUUUGUGAUUCCAGUUCGCGCCCGCGAGCACAUGCGAGUGAAGUGCAGACAGCAAUCCGGGAGAGCUUUUCGCUUUACAAGACAUUAACUGGACAAGAGCAUGGAUGCUUGGACUCUCAUUCUGACGGCACCCAUUUACUGCAGAGGAUCCACUGGUGAGCAAGUGAUGUAAUGCUACAUUUCUCCAAAUCUGAUGAAGAAACAAACUCAUCUAAAUGUUGGAUGGCUUUGAGGUGCAAGUGAUGUAAUGCUAUAUUUCUCCAAAUCUGAUUGCAUGAAGAAACAAACUCCCCUACAUCUUGGAUGGCCUGAGGGUGAGUAAAUCAUCAGCGGAUGUUUACUUUUGGGUCAAAUAUUCCAAGAGAAAAGUGAAAUGA